GUGCUCAUGUUGGCAGCACAUUUACUAAAACUGGAAUGACAGCAGAUCAAGAAGGCCCAGCUGCAGGGAUGACUUGAAGAUCUGUAAAGUGUUCCACACUUAA
rnacentral:snRNA from 1 species